GACGAACGCUGGCGGCGUGCCUAAUACAUGCAAGUCGAACGAACUCUGGUAUUGAUUGGUGCUUGCAUCAUGAUUUACAUUUGAGUGAGUGGCGAACUGGUGAGUAACACGUGGGAAACCUGCCCAGAAGCGGGGGAUAACACCUGGAAACAGAUGCUAAUACCGCAUAACAACUUGGACCGCAUGGUCCGAGCUUGAAAGAUGGCUUCGGCUAUCACUUUUGGAUGGUCCCGCGGCGUAUUAGCUAGAUGGUGGGGUAACGGCUCACCAUGGCAAUGAUACGUAGCCGACCUGAGAGGGUAAUCGGCCACAUUGGGACUGAGACACGGCCCAAACUCCUACGGGAGGCAGCAGUAGGGAAUCUUCCACAAUGGACGAAAGUCUGAUGGAGCAACGCCGCGUGAGUGAAGAAGGGUUUCGGCUCGUAAAACUCUGUUGUUAAAGAAGAACAUAUCUGAGAGUAACUGUUCAGGUAUUGACGGUAUUUAACCAGAAAGCCACGGCUAACUACGUGCCAGCAGCCGCGGUAAUACGUAGGUGGCAAGCGUUGUCCGGAUUUAUUGGGCGUAAAGCGAGCGCAGGCGGUUUUUUAAGUCUGAUGUGAAAGCCUUCGGCUCAACCGAAGAAGUGCAUCGGAAACUGGGAAACUUGAGUGCAGAAGAGGACAGUGGAACUCCAUGUGUAGCGGUGAAAUGCGUAGAUAUAUGGAAGAACACCAGUGGCGAAGGCGGCUGUCUGGUCUGUAACUGACGCUGAGGCUCGAAAGUAUGGGUAGCAAACAGGAUUAGAUACCCUGGUAGUCCAUACCGUAAACGAUGAAUGCUAAGUGUUGGAGGGUUUCCGCCCUUCAGUGCUGCAGCUAACGCAUUAAGCAUUCCGCCUGGGGAGUACGGCCGCAAGGCUGAAACUCAAAGGAAUUGACGGGGGCCCGCACAAGCGGUGGAGCAUGUGGUUUAAUUCGAAGCUACGCGAAGAACCUUACCAGGUCUUGACAUACUAUGCAAAUCUAAGAGAUUAGACGUUCCCUUCGGGGACAUGGAUACAGGUGGUGCAUGGUUGUCGUCAGCUCGUGUCGUGAGAUGUUGGGUUAAGUCCCGCAACGAGCGCAGCCCUUAUUAUCAGUUGCCAGCAUUAAGUUGGGCACUCUGGUGAGACUGCCGGUGACAAACCGGAGGAAGGUGGGGAUGACGUCAAAUCAUCAUGCCCCUUAUGACCUGGGCUACACACGUGCUACAAUGGAUGGUACAACGAGUUGCGAACUCGCGAGAGUAAGCUAAUCUCUUAAAGCCAUUCUCAGUUCGGAUUGUAGGCUGCAACUCGCCUACAUGAAGUCGGAAUCGCUAGUAAUCGCGGAUCAGCAUGCCGCGGUGAAUACGUUCCCGGGCCUUGUACACACCGCCCGUCACACCAUGAGAGUUUGUAACACCCAAAGUCGGUGGGGUAACCUUUUAGGAACCAGCCGCCUAAGGUGGGACAGAUGAUUAGGGUG
rnacentral:rRNA from 1 species